AACUUCCUUGCUGGAAUACGCUUCGUUCCCAAAGGAGUCCAGAAAUCAAAUGAUACCAGUAAAAUAUAGUUUGUUGCCGUGCUCCUGAUCUCUGUCAAGGGUGUCAGGAGACACCCCAUGAGAUAUGAUACUUCAUAAAUCUGAGAGCCCUCCAAUAUUCAGAAGAAUCUAGGCCUCCUCAGGCUGCUUUCUCCAACUGUAUCUCACCUUAUACUGGGAACUGUAAAUGCCAUUGGAGAAGUCCAAACCCUAAAAAGGACAAAAGUUCUCACCAGUCUAGUCUCUUUCCCUGCUGAUAAUGGUCUACAUAAUUCUGAAAUUACUUGGUCUGUAGCAUCGUUGGAUCAGAAGGAGAGGCACUGGAAAAAACUGUGUGGAUCAGCUGGGGACGGACUUUGGGCAUCAUCAUUAUAGUACCUGCAUCAGGAUCAUUCAUUUGGAUUAAUUUCUACUACAGUGUGCACUCCACUCGCCCCAGGCUGAGCUCACGUAGCAACUAAUGCCAGCUGUUCUCAUUUUCAAGAGGUGUUGAUAAUAUGCAAGUGCCAUUUACCAGCGAAAUUUUUACAAGGGUAGAAGAGCAUUGUUUUUUAAAGUAAACUGCUGUUAAGAAGCAAAAAAUAAAAAUAAGCAUGUUUAUUAUGUGUAUAAUAUGUACAUAUCUGUGUAUCUCCUUUAAAUAAUAACCUGUCACGCAGUAAACUAUUUAUGUUUAGAAGCUUUUUGUCCUUUAAACUGUACCCUGUAAUUUCUUACAAUGUAGUCUGAUCUAUUGAUAAUUUCGCUUGGCCCAUUGUCAGAGGUAGAAAAGCACCUUGAAUUGUCUCAUUUCAAUACUGCUAGAAUUGAGGGAUUUGAGGAAUAAACUGCAUGCACCUCACCUUCCUCAGUCUUUGCAUUAUGACUUUUCAGGAAAAGCAUAACUUUCCAGACAAACCUGUAAAACAAGUACAAGACUGCAAUACUUGUUACUACAAUUAACUAAAAUGUGCUUACUCUUGGA